rnacentral:rRNA from 1 species
AUUAAACGCUGGCGGCAUGCCUUACACAUGCAAGUCGAACGGCAGCACGGGGGCAACCCUGGUGGCGAGUGGCGGACGGGUGAGUAAAGCAUCGGAACGUAUCCUGGAGUGGGGGGAUAACGUAGCGAAAGUUACGCUAAUACCGCAUAUUCUGUGAGCAGGAAAGCAGGGGAUCGCAAGACCUUGCGCUCUGGGAGCGGCCGAUGUCGGAUUAGCUAGUUGGUGGGGUAAAGGCCUACCAAGGCGACGAUCCGUAGCGGGUCUGAGAGGAUGAUCCGCCACACUGGGACUGAGACACGGCCCAGACUCCUACGGGAGGCAGCAGUGGGGGAAUUUUGGACAAUGGGCGCAAGCCUGAUCCAGCCAUGCCGCGUGAGUGAAGAAGGCCUCGGUUGUAAAGCUCUUCGGUCGGGGAGAAAGUUAGCACGGGUUAAUACCCUGUGUAGAUGACGGUA